CUAACUGGAGGACCGAACCGACUAAUGUUGAAAAAUUAGCGGAUGACUUGUGGCUGGGGGUGAAAGGCCAAUCAAACCGGGAGAUAGCUGGUUCUCCCCGAAAGCUAUUUAGGUAGCGCCUCGUGAAUUCAUCUUCGGGGGUAGAGCACUGUUUCGGCUAGGGGGUCAUCCCGACUUACCAACCCGAUGCAAACUGCGAAUACCGAAGAAUGUUAUCACGGGAGACACACGGCGGGUGCUAACGUCCGUCGUGAAGAGGGAAACAACCCAGACCGCCAGCUAAGGUCCCAAAGUCAUGGUUAAGUGGGAAACGAUGUGGGAAGGCACAGACAGCCAGGAUGUUGGCUUAGAAGCAGCCAUCAUUUAAAGAAAGCGUAAUAGCUCACUGGUCGAGUCGGCCUGCGCGGAAGAUGUAACGGGGCUAAACCAUGCACCGAAGCUGCGGCAGCGACACUAUGUGUUGUUGGGUAGGGGAGCGUUCUGUAAGCCGUUGAAGGUGUAUCGUGAGGUAUGCUGGAGGUAUCAGAAGUGCGAAUGCUGACAUAAGUAACGAUAAUGCGGGUGAAAAACCCGCACGCCGGAAGACCAAGGGUUCCUGUCCAACGUUAAUCGGGGCAGGGUGAGUCGACCCCUAAGG
rnacentral:rRNA from 1 species